rnacentral:rRNA from 1 species
UACGAAGGGAGCUAGCGUUGUUCGGAAUCACUGGGCGUAAAGCGCACGUAGGCGGAUUUGUCAGUCAGGGGUGAAAUCCCGGGGCUCAACCUCGGAACUGCCUUUGAUACAGCAAGUCUUGAGUUCGAGAGAGGUGGGUGGAAUUCCUAGUGUAGAGGUGAAAUUCGUAGAUAUUAGGAAGAACACCGGUGGCGAAGGCGGCACACUGGCCCGAUACUGACGCUGAUGCACGAAAGCGUGGGGAGCGAACAGG